rnacentral:rRNA from 1 species
UACGAAGGGGACUAGCGUUGUUCGGAAUUACUGGGCGUAAAGCGCGUGUAGGCGGCUUUGCAAGUCGGGUGUGAAAGCCCUCAGCUCAACUGAGGAAGUGCGCCCGAAACUGCAGAGCUUGAGUACCGGAGAGGAUGGUGGAAUUCCCCAAGUAGAGGUGAAAUUCGUAGAUAUGGGGAGGAACACCGGUGGCGAAGGCGACCAUCUGGACGGAUACUGACGCUGAGACGCGAAAGCGUGGGUAGCAAACAGG